rnacentral:lncRNA from 1 species
GAGCGCGCCCGGAGGGACGGGCCACGACGGGGGUACGGGUUUUUCAAAAAUGUAAUCGCCGGUUUUUUCCGACCGACCGCCCGGUAUCGGAGGCUGAUUAGCCGCGUUCGAUUAAACUAACGCGGUGUACGCGCGUGUUUGUAGUCGACGGCUGCACGGGUCUCGCACAGCAGUACGCGAACGUGACGCACGAGUUGCGUACAAAAAAAAAAAAACCGUCGGUUUUAUGAUGACGACAGACAAGGAAGGAUAACGCGCGUUCCCCGCCGUUUCCCGAACAUUGGUUGAUUGAACGGUUUCCGGGGGGCACACACGCAAUGUUUCGACGAUCGGAAUCGAAAACGGGUCGGGUUCGGAAAUUACGAGACGAAGUGAAUUUUUCUAUUUUUCCGCGUAAAACGUAUUUGUAAAAAAGUUACGUUUUCGUUAGCAAUGAAAUAAAUAACAGUUGGCAAUGAUUUAAUCGCAUACUCGCGCAUGCAUGCCGCCCCGGUACACGCAUAACGACGUUUUAUUGAAACGGCGCGUCGAUCAUAAAUCGCGCGUCCGCAUACAACUGUUGCAGCAUUAUUUAAGGACGCACGAUUCCACUGCGCACAAUAAUUGUAAGCGUUCCGAUAACCGUAGGUGUCGGAUGAUUACUCGAAUUGGAUAGAAUUUGUUUUUUUUUUUUUGCGAGACGGCGGUACGAGUACCCGUGGUGGUGGUAUGUAUGUGUCUUUUAAACAUUUACAGCGAAAUGGGCGUACAAACGCCAUGCAUCGGAUAACAUCGCACGCAGCCGAUAUGCCGCGUUGUUAUCGACUCGCCUGAGUGUUAUUGUAUCAGAGAAGCGAACAUUGUAAUAAUUUGUUCGGAUAGUCGUGAACCGUUUUUUCGCUGACAGCCUUACAGAGGCUAAACUAAAACUGCAUUUAUUAUGUAACCACGAGGCGUGAACGAAUCGGUACAGUCAUCAUAACUGCAGGUCACGGCGUUUAAAUUACUCGUAUCAUAACGUUAAUAAUACAAUAUUUAUUUUAUUUUUUUUGUUAAGAACUUUUACAACUGCAUAUAUAAUACGCAAGUAUCAGAAACAAAUUUAUCUAACCGUUAUUUGUUCGUAAUAAAAUAUGAUACCGUUUUAGUUGACAUCGGCUAUAAUUUUACUGCAGCGGUAUAAAUCUGAAUCGAAAAAAAUUUUCGUUUUACAGGUGAUUUAUGUUAUCACCUAUUACAACGAAAAAGGUCGUAUCGUCAGCUCGUCCGAAGAGAUUGGAUUAGAAAUUGAAAAAGUUAGAUAGGACCCCCCCCCCCGUACAAACAGAUCUGUGGUGUUCUUAAGAGAUAAAAUAAUUUUUAGUUUAAAUUUGAUAAUUUUUUUUUAUUAUCUAAAGUAAUUGACCGUACGUUCGCGUUUUCCAGACUCGAGGUUUUAUUUUAACCGAGCACCGGUGCACCACGGGAUUAAUAGCAGUGCGUUUUGGACCGAUUAAAUUGCAUUUUACGGUUUGAUUAUGUCAUAUAUAUAUAUAUAUAUGUGUAUAUUAUACGUGUACUGUUGACACCGAUGUUAUAGACGUAUAUUGUACUUGCCCGUCUUUAUAUGGGAUAGUAAAUAUUGUGCGGGUGUACAACUGUUCGCGCGUUUUUCAACCGUAAGCUGUUGUUUGAUAAUUUAUAUUAUAGUUAUACUCGAUCAUAUCGUAUGUUGAACUAAAAUCGGUGUGUAUUUUUAUAUGAGUAGGGUACACGAAAUGAGAAUUUACAGUUUUUCGUGAUUUUUAGACGACAUUUAGUUUCGUCAACGUUUUUUAAUUUUAACGCUUUAUACGGAAAAAUGUCCGACGUUAUUACACGGUUGGCGUUCAACAUUUAUACUACGAGUGUACACCGUAUGCCGAAGAAGUAUCUCUUAUUAUUGUUUUACCAAGGUCUGUGAAGAUUUCCUUUUUUUUCUUUAGAAAAACGUUUUUUCGGUUAGUAAAAAUGUUCUUAAUUACAUUGAUAAUAGUGUUGUAUGCCUUGAAAGAUGUAAAAUUUUCACCCAUUCAUACGUUAAUUUAAAAAAAAAAAAAAAAAAAAUGAUCCGGAUUCCCAACGCUUUUUUCUAAAAACUGUAAAUAGCUGACAUAUUGGUUUUACAUUUGUUGAUUACUGGGUGACCUUUUGCUGUAAAAGGUAAAAUAUACGACUCGUACACUAAUUUACCAAAACGCCUUAUUGCGUACCACUAGUAUUGAUAAUUACCAGGUAAUAUGUUCGGUAGUGCUAGUUUACCGAUAUACGCUCAUAAUCGUUUUAUGAUCGUAAUGAUAUAUAUCGUUACUUAUACCUACCUAAAGUACAUACAAUUACCGCCCGUAAUGCGAAAUUUAAUAAUAGUGUAUGUACCGUAAUUUUAUUAUCUAUCAAAUGGUAAAUAAAAAACACAUUUUAGAUUCUCAGUGGAGCGAAGAAGCUUAUUGGUUUUACAAAGACGUUUAUUUAAUUUUUUUUCUGUGGACAAAUUUUCUAUCGGCAAUUUUGCUCCAAUUUAGAAAUGAUAGUAAAUCGGUAAAACAAAUAUUAGUAAAGAAAAUGCAUAAAGACUAUUUAAUUAUAUUGCUAUACAAUAUGACAUAUACAGUGUGUUUCAUUCAAAUGGUAACAUGAAAUAUUUCUGUUCAGUGAUCUCGGAUUGAAUUGGGAUUUUCAAGAGAAGAUAAGAAAUACUGAAGUACACAUUUUGCACGGAUUAUUAAAUUUCUUAACCUUUCAGUGCGCGCAUGCGCAAUAAAACUUGCAUUUUUUUUAAAUGGAAACACCCAUUUCCAACAGUGUAUUUCCUUAAUGUAACGACGACUAAUGUGCAUUUUUCGUUAUAAACUGUUCAAAACUAAAUUAGUCAGUUUGAUAAUUCGUCUAUAAAAACUUACAACCCGUCCUUGCAAUAUUCGUUCAGACUUCCGGGUGUAAUACCGUAAAGAAAUCAUG